AACGUAGGGCGCGAGCGUUAAUCGGAAUUACUGGGCGUAAAGCGUGCGCAGGCGGCUCUUCCAGUCAGAUGUGAAAGCCCCGGGCUUAACCUGGGAAUGGCGUUUGAAACUGGAGGGCUGGAGUGUGGCAGAGGGAGGUGGAAUUCCACGUGUAGCAGUGAAAUGCGUAGAGAUGUGGAGGAACACCGAUGGCGAAGGCAGCCUCCUGGGCCAACACUGACGCUCAUGCACGAAAGCGUGGGGAGCAAACAGG
rnacentral:rRNA from 1 species